UGCUCCAUUUGUGUUUCCUCUGUUUUUUCUUUUUAUUUGGUUAACAUUUUUUUUUUUUUUGUAUUUACCCUUUUUUGUUUUCUAUAUUUUUUAGCAAAAUUGUCUCACAGUUGUAGGAGAGGUUUAGAAGAGAUACGUGGGGAAGCAGUUGUGUAAGAUGGGUGGAGAGACAGUAUUAUUUAUUUAUUUAUUCUAUUUUUAGGUUUUUUACCUUAUAUCCCUAUAAAAGAAAAUUAACUCGGGUAUUUCUCUCUGUAAUACCUGAAGAAAGAGAAAUAGAAGAAGAAAAAAAAAUAGGAAAAGUCGAGAGGGAGAGGGAAAUAGGUAAGUUUGCCCCUCCAACCAUUAGAGGGGUCCAAAUGAAACCUAUACAGAGUCGUGCGAGAGAGAAAUAGUGAGAGAAAGGGGUAGAGAGAACCUAGAGAGAGGAGAAAGAAUGAACCGUCGGAAGACUCACAGAAAAUUUCCGUCGAGUCUAUUCCGGUCAAGAUCAUGAUGCAAGGAACCUUUUUUGGAAGGGAAAAGAGAAUGUGGGUGGCCGGAGUCCCAUUUUUCAUCAAGAAAUCGAAAAACCCGCAAGGAACAAUUCUACGCACCAUCUGAGAAGAAGUUUGGCCGAGAUCUUAACCCGAAGGUGGAGAUCCGAGAAUCGUCCGAGAACGGUGAGCGAACUUUCGACGCUCUUAACUCGUCCAGUAGUCAAGCGAAA